GCCGGGGGAAGGCGGCCCCGGCGGCGGGAGCGGCCCCGGGCGCGGUGCGGGGAGGCCGGGCCGGCUCCGGGAGCCGCUGCUCCGCGGGGAACCUUCCCCUCCGCCCCGGCCCGGGACAACAGGGGCCCGGGCGGCCGCGAUGGACUCCGGCAGCGAGACCCACGAACUCAACGGGACGGCGGAGGGCGCGGAGUCGGCGGCCGAGGAGCAGCGCAGGAGGUGGCAGUGGUUCCAAAGGAACAGACCCAUCAACAUCAACCACUAUGCCAACAAGAAGAGUGCGGCCGAGAGCAUGCUGGACAUCGCCCUCCUGAUGGCCAACGCCUCCCAGCUCAAAGCUGUCAUGGAGCAAGGGCCCUCCUUUUCCUUCUACGUCCCGCUGAUCAUUCUCAUCAGUCUGUCGCUCACCCUACAAAUUAUGGUGGGAGUGCUCCUGAUAUUCCUUGUAAAAUAUGACCUUAACAACCCUGCAAAACACGGAAAGCUGAAUUUCCUCAACAACCUUGCAACUGGACUAGUAUUCAUUAUAGUUGUUGUGAAUAUUUUUAUCACUGCCUUUGGAGUGCAGAAACCAGUUGCUGAGCCAAUAUCAAGACAGUAAGAACCAGUUCUUGCAGAUACCUGAGCUCACUUCCCAUUAGUGCAAAAGCAGAAGCUGCUGGGAACUGAGACCUGGAGCAUUCAUUUUAGAUGUCAUUUGCAGUUGAGCCAGCCACACUGGACACAGUGAGAAAAGAAAAAUAAUUUGAAGAAGCUGGACACACCAAGCAGCUUUCCCAAGCUUCCAACACACUUGUAUACCUGAAAUUUUUCCAUGUGUUAAUAUUUAAAUUGUUUGACAUCUGAGAAAAGGUUAGCUUUGCCCCAAGGAUGCUGUUUUUCUGGAAUAUUGGCAUUUCAAUUUCUGAAGAAACUUUUUUGUUCCAGAGAAGUGACAUAAAUUCAUGAAACAAGGAAAUAUCAUCUGAUAGCAUUUCACAGGACUUUUCUUUUUAUAUGCCUUUGGUUUUUGUGGCAAUUUGUCAUUUCUACAAUGGUAAGAAAUGUCAGGCCUUUGAUUCUGGCAUGGUCACAUUGUCCUUUAUUUCACUGCUUGGCACCAAGCCAUUGUACUCUGUAGCCCAGCAGGGCUCUUCCUUUGCAGUGUGUAAAAUAACUGCUUUUGCACAGCUUUUUGGUUUGCUUUUUUCCCACUCUAGCUAAAGGAAAGAUGAGACAAACAGAAACAAGCAGCAUUCUUCUGUCCGAUUUUGUUCACAGGUAAUCAUUUGUGUUGUUUCUUCUGGACACACUUAAAAUUUCCUGUCCUUCAUGCACAGACACAAAUCACCUAAUUGUUAAUGGUUUCUUACCGUGAACUGCUACUCUGUGUUUUCUGUGCAUUAUAUGUAUUUAUUUGAAUCAUAGAGUGGUUUGGAUUCAAGGGACCUUUACAGGUCAUCUUGUUCCAUCCUGUCCCAGGCUGCUCCAAGCCCCGUCCAGGCUGGCCUUGGACACUUCCAGGGAUUCAGGGGCAGCCACAGCUGCUCUGGGCACCCUGUGCCAGGGCCUCAGCACCUUCAUUGUAAAAGGUUCUUUCUUAUAUCAAAUUUCUAUUAGAAACGCUAUUAGAAGUGCCACCUUUUCUGGGCUCUACUGGUAAACUGGAGGCUCCAGGGUGAACAUUACCUGUUAAACUGGUACCAAGUGCCUGUCAGCGAAAUUCAAAUGGCAAAAUGAACUGAGUUUUUCUCUCUACUUUCCUCUCUCUCUUCCCAUCGAUUGCUGCUGUUUUGUUCCUUUUAUGAGUUUAUGACUAAAAGCAAAAUAAAUUUUUAAAUUUUUGUUUUUAAAUAUAUAUAGAGAGUUAUAAAUAUCUUCUAGCCUCUUACCUGCAGGCUCAGGGACUUACACUUUUUCUAAAUACACUAUUGCUAAUAAUGGUGUAGGUUACAAGAAUUUCUUCAACAAAAACAUUUUAGUAAUUUUUUUCCAAAGUAUCAUACCUGCAAUCUAAGUUUUCUAGGUUGCACUUAUAUGUAGAUGCAAGAUAUAGAUUUGUAUGAAUCAAUUUUCUUGGCAUCAAUUUUCAAAAGCUCCUUUGUACAUAAGAAUAGAAGAUUGAGUUCAUGUGUCUCAUCUCAUUUACAGGUUUUGUUACUGACCUUUCUCUUUGGGUAUGCCUCAAAGCCCACUGAUGUACCAGAUUUCAUGUAUAUUUUCUGUAAGAAUUGCUAACAGAAAACAAAUGAAACUCGUGUGAUUAGUAAUGGAAUGGAUAUUCUUUUUUAUUUUCUAAUUUGUCUUUUGUUGCUUCAUUUACAUUGUAACAUGUAUUUAACCCGUAUCCAGCAGGCAGUGGUUUAAUUUUGUGAGCUGUACUAACGUAAACAUAACUCAGAACAAGUUCUGAAUGAGGCAUGCAGGACAACUUCCUUCCUGUAUUUAUUUGUCACAAAGCACCAACUGCUGUAGGACUCUUCGUGCCCACUCGUGGCUGUCACACUUCUGAUGCUGCUUCCCAUGUCUUUUAUUGUGAUUAAAUAAGAUUUGCAAAACAUUCUCAG